UGGGGAAUAUUGGACAAUGGGCGAAAGCCUGAUCCAGCCAUGCCGCGUGAGUGACGAAGGCCUUAGGGUUGUAAAACUCUUUCGUCGGUGACGAUAAUGACGGUACCCGAAGAAGAAGCUCCGGCUAACUUCGUGCCAGCAGCCGCGGUAAUACGAAGGGAGCUAGCGUUGUUCGGAAUCACUGGGCGUAAAGCGCACGUAGGCGGAUAGUUAAGUCAGGGGUGAAAUCCUGGGGCUCAACCCCAGAACUGCCUUUGAUACUGGCUGUCUCGAGGUCGAGAGAGGUUGGUGGAAUUCCUAGUGUAGAGGUGAAAUUCGUAGAUAUUAGGAAGAACACCAGUGGCGAAGGCGGCCAACUGGCUCGAUACUGACGCUGAGGUGCGAAAGCGUGGGGAGCAAACAGGAUUAGAUACCCUUGUAGUCCCUGAGCGGGCUGGCAAGGCGCAU
rnacentral:rRNA from 1 species